UGCUUGGCGACCAUAGCGUUUUGGACCCACCUGAUUCCAUCCCGAACUCAGAAGUGAAACGAAACAGCGCCGAUGGUAGUGUGGGGUUUCCCCAUGUGAGAGUAGAACAUCGCCAGGCUU
rnacentral:rRNA from 1 species